rnacentral:rRNA from 1 species
UACGUAGGGUGCAAGCGUUGUCCGGAUUUAUUGGGCGUAAAGAGCUCGUAGGCGGUUUGGCAAGUCGGGUGUGAAAACUUCAGGCUCAACCUGGAGAUGCCACCCGAGACUGCUAUGACUUGAGUCUGGUAGGGGAGCACGGAAUUCCUGGUGUAGCGGUGAAAUGCGCAGAUAUCAGGAGGAACACCGGUGGCGAAGGCGGUGCUCUGGGCCAGUACUGACGCUGAGGAGCGAAAGGGUGGGGAGCAAACAGG